UUAUUAAUUAUGAUAUAUAUGACUAUAUUUGACUAAUUUUACUGUAUAAUUUUUAUUAUUAUCUUGAUUACCAUGUGUAUCAUAGGUGUAUAAUUUUUAUUAUUAUCUUGAUUACCAUGUGUAUCAUAGGUGUAUCAUAUUUGACAUUUUUAUUAUUACACGAAAUCAAAGUUGCAUAGUCAAAAAGAGUGAAACUAAGAUUCUUUCUAUCAAUUAGUUAAGCCCAACAAGAGAUGAGAUAAGCCCAAUACACAAACAAACAAAGAAACCCUAAUGCCAUAACCCUAAUAUAAAAGGUAAAUUUCCAAAACACUAAUAUCUACUUCAGCCGUUCAUUUCAAUUUCCCUCAUUCAAAUUUUUCCAAACUUCUUCUCCUUUCUUCUCACAGCCAAAGGUUUCUAGGGUUAUUCAAAGUUUCUUUCUUUUUCUUCAACCGUACAGUCGCACCUCUACAAUGGUUUCUAGGGUUAGGGUUCGCUCAAGAUGUCAGCUUCUCUUCUUCUUCUUGCUACCGAUUGUGGUAAUGGUGGCGCCGUUAGUGUUCGUGGGUAGAGAAUGUUUGGCCAUUCACACUAAAUCUCACAGAUUGCAGUGAGAACUUUGCAGAUUUAAUCAGAUUAUAAGGCUUCAAGAAUGAGUGGAAAUUAAUUUGGAAGCGGCAGCACACAAAGUUUUUGUUUUGUAUAAUUGUUGCAAAAAUGUUUAAUUUUUCAUAUAUAACAUGUGUAAAUGAAUGGGUGCUUCUGUGAAUAGGUAUCUACCAAUUCUGAAUAAUUAUGUUGUUUUGUAUAAUUGUUGUAAAUGGUUUCUUUUCAGUUCUGUAUGAAUAAAUGUUUGUUAAAGUUAA